rnacentral:rRNA from 1 species
AUGAACGCUAGCGACAGGCCUAACACAUGCAAGUCAGGGGCAGCACAAGGAGCAAUCUGAGGUGGCGACCGGCGCACGGGUGAGUAACACGUAUGCAACCUGCCUGUAAGCGGGGAAUAACCCGUUGAAAGACGGACUAAUACCGCAUAAUACUAAAUUACUGCAUGGUAAUUUAUUUAAACAUUUAUGGCUUACAGAUGGGCAUGCGCAUGAUUAGCUAGUUGGAGAGGUAACGGCUCCCCAAGGCAACGAUCAUUAGGGGUUCUGAGAGGAAGGUCCCCCACACUGGUACUGAGACACGGACCAGACUCCUACGGGAGGCAGCAGUGAGGAAUAUUGGUCAAUGGACGAGAGUCUGAACCAGCCAAGUCGCGUGCAGGAAGAAUGUCCUAUGGAUUGUAAACUGCUUUUGCAGGGGAAUAAAGUGCAUCACGUGUGAUGUUUUGUAUGUACUCUGCGAAUAAGGAUCGGCUAACUCCGUGCCAGCCGCCGC